rnacentral:rRNA from 1 species
GGAUUAGAUACCCUGGUAGUCCACGCAGUAAACGGUGAGCACUAGGUGUAGUGGGUAUUUACCCCCGCUGUGCCGGAGUUAACGCAUUAAGUGCUCCGCCUGGGAAGUACGGCCGCAAGGCUAAAACUCAAAGGAAUUGACGGGGGCCCGCACAAGCGGUGGAGCAUGUGGUUUAAUUCGACGCAACGCGAAGAACCUUACCUGGAUUUGACAUCCUGGGAAUGUCUUUGAAAGAAGACAGUGCCCUUCGGGGAGCCUGGAGACAGGUGCUGCAUGGCUGUCGUCAGCUCGUGCCG